rnacentral:tRNA from 1 species
AAAGAAUUAGUUUAUUAAAAACGUUAGUCUUCAAAACUAAAGAUAUUUUAUGGAUAUUCUUUG